GAUGAACGCUGGCGGCGUGCCUAACACAUGCAAGUCGAACGGAACUUACUGAGGAAGCCUUUCGGGGUGGAACCUAUAAGUUUAGUGGCGGACGGGUGAGUAACGCGUGAGCAAUCUGCCUUUAAGAGGGGGACAACAGCUGGAAACGGCUGCUAAUACCGCAUAAAAUAUACUGUGGGCAUCCACGGUAUAUCAAAGGAGCAAUCCGCUUAAAGAUGAGCUCGCGUCCCAUUAGCUAGUUGGUGAGGGUAAAGGCCCACCAAGGCGACGAUGGGUAGCCGGACUGAGAGGUUGAACGGCCACAUUGGGACUGAGACACGGCCCAGACUCCUACGGGAGGCAGCAGUGGGGAAUAUUGCGCAAUGGGGGAAACCCUGACGCAGCAACGCCGCGUGAUUGAAGAAGGCCUUCGGGUUGUAAAGAUCUUUAAUCAGGGACGAAUAAGAUGACGGUACCUGAAGAAUAAGCUCCGGCUAACUACGUGCCAGCCGCCGCCGUAAUAC
rnacentral:rRNA from 1 species